UUGUGUAGAUGGAACUGCCCUUCACUGACUUUGAGCUGACCUUCAUUAUCGUCGCCUUCGUCGUCUUCUCUCUCUUCAGCAUGGCUUCGAUCUUCAUCCAGCCAGAAAAAGAUGUCGAUGAAGCAAAGGCGUCGAGACCAUUGAACCGAAGGCAAAGAGUGAUCACAAAGCAAGCUGGACAGAGGCCAUGAAGUAAAGUCAGAAUUCUUGAUCUGCUGGGUCAAAACUACCCAAAAGUACAUGAAAUGAUUAGUUAAAUGAGUAUUCAAAUUAGCACCAAAGGACCAGCUACAACAGUAAAUGCCAUUUCCACAUGAUGUUAACAUCAGUAUAAAUUAUUUCAUAAUUUAUAUGAAUAUAACACUCAAACAAAUGAUUUCUCUGCAUCAAGUACUUUCGGCCCAUAAAGCAUAUUUGCUUACAAUACUUGCACAGACAUUUUUAGUUCAGGACUUUGUCUUGUGAUUCAGUUUACUCUACAUUGUCAUAUUGCUAAAGGAUCUGAAUGCUUCUUUCACCACCAGGUCAUUCAAAUCUGGGGUGUUGCAAAUGUGAGUGACUCUUUUGAAAACUCUGGUUUAAAGGCCUGGGGGGACUCUGUGAAGUUAUCCUUAUUGAUCAGUAGCCAUUAACAAGCUUAGUUUAGGGGAUUCAAAUCUAAUAGCGCUCAUCUGAUGUUUUUCUCCCUUUCCACUAACAUGGAUCACUGAGAUUUGGAAAUGUUCUUCCGAUGAGGUUGCACUGCUCACUUUCUCGCAGAAUGCAUUUGACAAUAAUCCACAAAGCGCUUGCUCUUUAGCCCCAUCUGCAGUGCUCAUCAAAAACAACAUCAACACUACUCUAAUACCACUGAAAAAAAGACCCAGCCAGGUAGAACCCAAGUUAGAUGAGACCAAGCGCAAACUUCUGCAGAACUUGAUCAAAUAUGUUGUGUAUUUUAAGUAGUUGUAUCUACAGGACAUUCAGAACCGUACUGCAGUGCAAAGCAUGGACGCAGGGUUUGUGUGUCCAUUGAAGCCGCUGUGUCUGGUUUAGGAUUAAACAAAACAAAAGUGACUUUUGGCCCCUGAAGUCAUUGUGGGGUGACAUCCUGGGGGGUUAGAGCCUGCUCCCUGUUGAGUUUGCCCCCUGACCCCUGAGCCCUCCGUCACUCCUCCACAGUCAGCCGUCUAGUUGCCAACACGGAGAAGGGGAGGAGGACCGCCAGAAAAAAAGACGGAGUGAAUCGACUGUUGUGAGAUCUCUUUUCUUUACAGAUCUAAAAAAGAAAAAAAAACGCCCGGCUCAUUUGUGUUGUGAUUCAGGCAGUGUGAUGUGUCCUGAUGAUCCACUAUACAAUCACUGUGUGUGUCUGUGUAUUGCCUGUUCACUGCUGUUUAUGUGUAUAUGUGCAUCCAUUGAGGUCUGUAUUGGCCAAUUGCAGAUAAAGGGUCUUAAGAGUAAUUAAGCUCUAGGCUGGCUGCGGCCCCUCAUUAACAGUGAAGACCUUUGGCAUGACAAGAGAGACACUAUCACUCUAACGAUGGACAACGAACUGACCCAUCAGAUCACCAUCAACACUCGUACGCACACACACAGACACUGGACAACGCCCUAAAAUGUCAGACAACCUGGCACACCUCUGCUCCGGUGUAGAGUCAAUGCAACUUUGGUUUUAUCUCCGUGGCUAUGGCAGUCGGUUCAAUUGCUUACAACAGCACUGCACUCUGCACUGAAAAAUUAAUGCUCAGAUAUCGGGCCGUGUCAACAUCACAAAAAAUUGGUCGAUACUCGGCAACAAACUAAAAACUUAACUAGCAAAAUGCAGAUGUUACCAUCAUGCAUGACACAGAGUUAAUGAAAGAGGGUUUGAUAAUGGAUCGCAGGUAUGGAUUAAAUCCUCUAUCAUGGUAAAUGUAAUUUCAUAUCACAAUGUCAAUGAGGAAAAGCUGUAAAAAAACUGCAACUAUAAAGUUGAUGCUAGUGGCAUUGACAUUUUUUCGCUAAUUAGUUAUUUUUCUGACCAACAGUGCAAAACGCUAUAUAUUAGUUGCGAUAUCAUUAAAUAUACAGAAAUGCAGAACAUUUGACCAUAUUACCAUACAGCAGUACUGUUGUCUACAAAGGAAUAACUGCCAUUGUACAAAUAAUAAAAGUCAGAGCAACAUCAAAGACGGUAGACAAAUAUAUCGUGGUAUCAAGCAACACCGAUUUGAAUUACAUGACAUGAUCACGAGAUUUGAAUCCAACUGGACACUGGAUAUUUUUUGGACUGACAUGCUUGACAGCUCCCUCCUCAACCCCACAACAAUACAACAAAUGUUUUGGAUAAAUUAUGUUCCCUCCCCUCCAAUUGAAAAUCUAUUGUAAAAAUGAGUACAGAGGCUGUUUUGGAGGCUGGCGAUGGCUGAACACUUUGCUAAAAAACUUUAUGUUGGUCACCCAUCAGUAUGCCUCAUAUAAAGCUCUUUGCACGUUAAGCAUACAGUAUGUGCAUACAUGCAACAAUGUCCAGCUGAGUGUAAAGGAAGACAGUCACUUUAUGACCCACUGUUCCUCUUAGCAAGUUUUAUCAGAGAGGAAGUUCUUUAUCAGUAGAUCCUGGUGAAGAGAAGAUGGGAGAGGAAGAAGAAAGUGAAAUUUCAAGAGGGGAGGGGAGGAGAGGCUGAAGCUUCCUCUGUGGUCAUAAAGAUCACAGCUACUGGGAAGACCAUGACAACUUUCACAGCAGCAAUAACACCAGCUCUGCAGUCCAACUCUGUCCUGGGUUACACACUAAUCCAAAAUGAUUUCAAAAAGUAUCCAACUGACAAAAAGAAAAAAAGCUAAAGCAUACUAUUCUUCUUGUAGGCGGUCAGAAAACAAUGUGAUCAUUUGAACCAUUUUUUAUAUGCAGCAGACUAGGGCUGCUACUAACGAUUAUUUUCAUUAUCUAAUAUUUUCUUGUCCAUAAAAUGAUGAAAAAUGUUGAUUGUGUUUUCCAAACCUUGAGAUGAUGUUUGUUUUUGUUCAAACACAAAAUAUAUUUUGUAUACUGUCAUAGAGUAGCAAAGAAACCAGAAAAUAUACAACUAAAUAUCCAUUUAAGAAGCUGAUAUCUUAGAAUUUUCCCAUAACAACCACUAAAAGCGAUUAUCAAAAUAGUUGGCGAUUAAUUUAGUAGUCAAUUACUAAUGGAUUAAUCGAUUAACUGUUGCAACUCUGCAGCAGACAUUUUCAUGUCGAAUAUUGAUUUUCACCUGCCAGUAAAUCCUGUGCACACUACUCGUUGGGUUCAAUUGCACAUUAACUUGAAAAGAUCUUGAGGCGAACAACUCUCAUUACAAAUGGUCCGAUCUAUACUUCCGCUGCAUACUGUGUGUGAGAUUUUGUGACACAAAUGUCAAUAAAAAAAGUUUCCACAACCAAA